rnacentral:rRNA from 1 species
UACGAGGGGGGCAAGCGUUGUUCGGAAUUAUUGGGCGUAAAGGGCGCGUAGGCGGUGCGGUAAGUCACCUGUGAAACCUCUAGGCUUAACCUAGAGCCUGCAGGCGAAACUGCCGUGCUUGAGGGUGGGAGAGGUAAGCGGAAUUCCUGGUGUAGCGGUGAAAUGCGUAGAUAUCAGGAGGAACACCUGUGGUGUAGACAGCUUACUGGACCACUUCUGACGCUGAGACACGAAAGCGUGGGUAGCAAACAGG